rnacentral:rRNA from 1 species
AUUGAACGCUGGCGGCAUGCCUUACACAUGCAAGUCGAACGGCAGCACGGGGCAACCUGGUGGCGAGUGGCGAACGGGUGAGUAAUGCAUCGGAACGUACCUUUCAGUGGGGGAUAACGUAGCGAAAGUUACGCUAAUACCGCAUAUUCUGUGAGCAAGAAAGCAGGGGAUCGCAAGACCUUGCGCUGAUUGAGCGGCCGAUGUCAGAUUAGCUAGUUGGUGAGGUAAAGGCUCACCAGGGCGACGAUCUGUAGCGGGUCUGAGAGGAUGAUCCGCCACUCUGGAACUGAGACACGGUCCAGACUCCUACGGGAGGCAGCAGUGGGGAAUUUUGGACAAUGGGGGCAACCCUGAUCCAGCCAUGCCGCGUGAGUGAAGAAGGCCUUCGGGUUGUAAAGCUCUUUCGGCCGGGAAGAAAUCGCACGGGCUAAUACCCUGUGUGGAUGACGGUACCGGAAUAAGAAGCACCGGCUAACUACGUGCCAGCAGCAGCCGCGGUAA